UACGAAGGGGGCUAGCGUUGCUCGGAAUCACUGGGCGUAAAGCGCACGUAGGCGGCUCUGCAAGUCGGAUGUGAAAUCCCUCGGCUCAACCAAGGAAGUGCAUCCGAAACUGCAAAGCUUGAGUACCAAAGAGGAUCGCGGAAUUCCCGGUGUAGAGUGAAAUUCGUAGAUAUCAGGAGGAACACCGGUGGCGAAGGCGGGGGUCUCUGGGGGCCGUAACUGACGCUGAGGAGCGAAAAGCGUGGGGGAGCGAAACAGG
rnacentral:rRNA from 1 species